UGGUUGCCCUUUUGGUCAAACUGCAACCAUUGUUCUCAGAGGUGGUGCAGAUCAGUUCAUUGAAGAAGCAGAAAGGAGCUUUCAUGAUGCCACUAUGAUAGUUAGGAGAGCUUUAAAGAACUCUACCAUUGUGCUUGGUGGUGGUGCUAUUGAUAUGGAACUAAGCCGGUAUUUAAGGGUGCAUGCCCAUACAAUAGCUGGGAAGCCACAGCUGUUUAUCAAUUCAUAUGCCAAAGCUCUUGAG